rnacentral:lncRNA from 1 species
GGGCAUAUCAUCCUCACAAAAAAAAAAAACUUUUUCACUUGGUUGCGAAGUCAUGAUUAAAACACCAUUUUGAGAUGAACAAAGUCCACGGCUGAUCUCUAAAUCUCUGAGUGAAUCUCCCAUCUGCCAUGUUCUCCAUACCAUAUUUCGCAAAAUCGAUUCAGGAUGUCAGUGCCUGGGAUGGCAAGAAAAGAGAAAACUCAUCUCUACGGAGACGGAUGCAAUGACAACAAUGGAGGGUUUUUUUUAUUUCUUU